GAAGACUAUUAAAUGUUCAAUUUCAAUGCCAUAUGAUGGGUGGAUAUGUUUAAACUCUGACAAAAGCCAAUUGAGUCUAAUAUUGAAAUAAACACAUUACUAAGAUUAACAUUAUCAACAUCCAUAUGAAUAUUAAAAUCACCUACAAUAAAUACUUUAUCUGUUUGAAGGACUAAACUUCAUAAAAACUGAGAACACUGAGAAGUGUACAGGCCAGGAGCGCCGUUCUCUAUAACAAAUAGUAUUGGCUGCAGUGUUUUCUAGGCCGGGUUUCAGUUUAGAAUUAAUCAAAAGGCUUGAAUUGUAUAUGGCUGUUACCCCACCUCCUUGGCCGGUGCCUUGAGGAAUGUGAGUAUUAAUAUGACUGGGGGGAGUGGAUUCAUUUAUGGCACAGCCAGGUCUCAGUAAGACAAAGUAAAUCAAUAUCACCAUCUGAUAUUAACUCAUUAACUAGAACAGCUUUAGACGACAGAGACCCGAUGUUUAACCAUCACCAUUUAACUGCUGUGCAGAUGAACCAGCUUCCAGUUGUGGUUCGGGAGGCAGACACCCUCACCACAUUCAAGAGUAGGCUUAAGACAUUCCUCUUUGAUAAAGCUUAUAGUUAGGGCUGGAUCAGGUGAGUCCUGAACCAUCCCUUAGUUAUGCUGCUAUAGGCCUAGACUAUCGGGGGAUUUCCCAUGGUGCACUGAGCUCCUCUCUUCCUCUCUCUUUCUGCACUCAUUCAUGUCCCAUUAAUGCAUGUUACUAACUUCACUUCUUCCCCGGAGUUCUUGUGCUUUCUCGUCUCGCAGGUUCUUAUCGAUCCUGGUGGAGCCUCCUGCCAUGGUCCUGCUAGAUUGCCAUUGCCAAUACUGUUGUUGCUGUGCCUCCGUCUGUCUGUCUGUCUGUCUCUCUCUCUCUCUCUCUCUCUCUCUCUUUCACCCCAACUGGUCGAGGCAGACGACCACCCACCUAGAGCCGAAGGAUCUGUCCUAGGUUUCUGCCUUUUAACAGGCAGUUUUUCCUUGCCCCCGUCGCCAAGUGCUUGCUCAUGGUGGUACUGUUGGGCCUCUGUAAAUAAUGUUAUAAGGAGUUCGGUCUAGACCUGCUCUAUUUGAAAAGUGUCCUGGGAUAACUUCUGUUAUGAAUUGGCGCUAUAAAAAUAAAAUUGAAUUGAA